rnacentral:rRNA from 1 species
UACGUAGGGUGCAAGCGCUAAUCGGAAUACUGGGCGUAAAGCGUGCGCAGGCGGUUAUGUAAGACAGGUGUGAAAUCCCCGGGCUUAACCUGGGAACUGCAUUUGUGACUGCAUAGCUAGAGUACGGUAGAGGGGGAUGGAAUUCCGCGUGUAGCAGUGAAAUGCGUAGAUAUGCGGAGGAACACCGAUGGCGAAGGCAAUCCCCUGGACCUGUACUGACGCUCAUGCACGAAAGCGUGGGGAGCAAACAGG